rnacentral:rRNA from 1 species
GACGAACGCUGGCGGCGUGCUUAACACAUGCAAGUCGAACGGAAAGGCCCUGCUUGCAGGGUACUCGAGUGGCGAACGGGUGAGUAACACGUGGGUGAUCUGCCCUGCACUUCGGGAUAAGCCUGGGAAACUGGGUCUAAUACCGGAUAGGAGCCAUUUUUAGUGUGAUGGUUGGAAAGUUUUUUCGGUGUAGGAUGAGCUCGCGGCCUAUCAGCUUGUUGGUGGGGUAAUGGCCUACCAAGGCGGCGACGGGUAGCCGGCCUGAGAGGGUGGACGGCCACAGUGGGACUGAGAUACGGCCCAGACUCCUACGGGAGGCAGCAGUGGGGAAUAUUGCACAAUGGGCGCAAGCCUGAUGCAGCGACGCCGCGUGGGGGAGGACGGCCUUCGGGUUGGAAACUCAUUUCGCUAGGGACGAAGCUUUUUGUGACGGUACCUAGAUAAGAAGCACCGGCUAACUACGUG